rnacentral:rRNA from 1 species
CAAUAGCGUAUAUUAAUGUUGUUGCAGUUAAAAAGCUCGUAGUUGGAUUUCUGACAGGAGCGACCGGUCCGAGCCUUCGGGUUCGUGUACUUUGUGUUGUCUCUAGUCAUCCUUAUGGAGAGCGUGUCUUUCAUUAAUUUGUUGGGCAUGGGAUCCAUAUCGUUUACUGUGAAAAAAUUAGAGUGUUCAAAGCAGGCAAUCGCUGUGAAUAUAUUAGCAUGGAAUAAUAGGAUAGGACUUUGGUACUAUUUUGUUGGUUUGCAUACCAAGGUAAUGAUUAAGAGGGACAGUCGGGGGCAUUCGUAUUUCAUUGUCAGAGGUGAAAUUCUUGGAUUUAUGAAAGACGAACUACUGCGAAAGCAUUUGCCAAGGAUGUUUUCAUUAA